UCAAGCGAAUAAGCGCACACGGUGGAUGCCUUGGCGGUCAGAGGCGAUGAAGGACGUGGCAGCCUGCGAAAAGUACGGGGGAGCUGGCAACAAGCAUUGAUCCCGUAAUGUCCGAAUGGGGAAACCCACCUAGCAAUAGGUAUCCUGCAGUGAAUACAUAGCUGCUGGAAGCGAACCCGGAGAACUGAAAUAUCUAAGUACCCGGAGGAAAAGAAAUCAACCGAGAUUCCCUCAGUAGUGACGAGCGAACGGGGACCAGCCCUUAAGCUGAUUGAGUUCUAGUGGAACGUCCUGGAAAGGUCGGCCGUAGACGGUGAUAGCCCGGUACACGAAAGGGCUCAUUCAGUGAAAUCGAGUAAGGCGGGGCACGUGAAACCCUGUCUGAACAUGGGGGGACCAUCCUCCAAGGCUAAAUACUCCUGACCGACCGAUAGUGAACCAGUACCGUGAGGGAAAGGCGAAAAGAACCCUGGUGAAGGGAGUGAAAUAGACCCUGAAACCGUGUGCGUACAAGCAGUCGGAGCCCGCAAGGGUGACGGCGUACCUUUUGUAUAAUGGGUCAGCGACUUACUGUUCGUGGCGAGCUUAACCGUAUAGGGGAGGCGAAGGGAAACCGAGUCUGAUAAGGGCGCAUAGUCGCGGGCAGUAGACCCGAAACCGGGUGAUCUAGUCAUGCCCAGGGUGAAGGUCCGGUAACACGGACUGGAGGCCCGAACCCACUCCCGUUGCAAAGGUAGGGGAUGAGGUGUGAUUAGGAGUGAAAAGCUAAUCGAACCCGGAGAUAGCUGGUUCUCCUCGAAAGCUAUUUAGGUAGCGCCUCGUAUGUAUCCUCUCGGGGGUAGAGCACUGUUAUGGCUAGGGGGUCAUUGCGACUUACCAAACCAUUGCAAACUCCGAAUACCGAGACGGACUGUACGGGAGACACACGGCGGGUGCUAACGUCCGUCGUGAAAAGGGAAACAACCCAGACCCACAGCUAAGGUCCCAAAUUCAUCGCUAAGUGGAAAACGAUGUGGGAAGGCACAGACAGCCAGGAGGUUGGCUUAGAAGCAGCCACCCUUUAAAGAAAGCGUAAUAGCUCACUGGUCGAGUCGGCCUGCGCGGAAGAUUUAACGGGGCUAAGCGAUGAACCGAAGCUUGGGGUGCACACUCUUGAGUGUGCGCGGUAGAGGAGCGUUCCGUAAGCCGUUGAAGGUGGCUUGAGAAGGCUGCUGGAGGUAUCGGAAGUGCGAAUGCUGACAUGAGUAACGAUAAUGCGGGUGAAAACCCCGCACGCCGAAAGCCCAAGGUUUCCUUGCGCAACGUCAAUCGGCGCAGGGUGAGUCGGCCCCUAAGGCGAGGCAGAAAUGCGUAGUCGAUGGGAAGCUGGUUAAUAUUCCAGCACCUCGCGUAAGUGCGAUGGAGGGACGGAGAAGGUUAGGCAGGCCGGGCGUUGGUUGUCCCGGUGAGAGGGUUGAGGCGGUGCUCUUAGGCAAAUCCGGGAGCGCAACGUUGAGACCAAGGACGAGUCCUUUUGGACGAAGCUGCUGAUAUCACGCUUCCAGGAAAAGCUCCUAAGCUUCAGCUUACGCAGACCGUACCGUAAACCGACACAGGUGGGCAGGAUGAGAAUUCUAAGGCGCUUGAGAGAACUCGGGUGAAGGAACUAGGCAAAAUAGCACCGUAACUUCGGGAGAAGGUGCGCCCUUUCCGGUUAAUAGCUAGGAAGGGCCGCAGUGACCAGGCCGCUGCGACUGUUUAUCAAAAACACAGCACUCUGCAAACACGAAAGUGGACGUAUAGGGUGUGACGCCUGCCCGGUGCUGGAAGGUUAAGUGAUGGGGUUAGCCGCAAGGCGAAGCUCUUGAUCGAAGCCCCAGUAAACGGCGGCCGUAACUAUAACGGUCCUAAGGUAGCGAAAUUCCUUGUCGGGUAAGUUCCGACCUGCACGAAUGGCGUAACGACAGCGGCGCUGUCUCCACCC
rnacentral:rRNA from 1 species